AUGGGAACGCGAAGAACCUUACCUAGACUUGACAUCUCCUGAAUAGUGUAGAGAUACAUGAAGCCCUUCGGGGCAGGAAGACAGGUGGUGCAUGGUUGUCGUCAGCUCGUGUCGUGAGAUGUUGGGUUAAGUCCCGCAACGAGCGCAACCCUUAUUACUAGUUGCUACCAUUAAGUUGAGCACUCUAGUGAGACUGCCCGGGUUAACCGGGAGGAAGGCGGGGGAUGACGUCAAAUCAUCAUCGUCCCCUUAUGUCGUAGGGACAACACACGUUCUACAAUGGUGAGUACAGAUAGAUGCGAUACCGCAAGGUGGAGCCAAACUACUAAAACUCACUCCCAGUUCGGAUUGUAGGCUGCAACUCGCCUACAUGAAGUUGGAGUUGCUAGUAAUCGCGAAUCAGAAUGUCGCGGUGAAUAC
rnacentral:rRNA from 1 species